GACCAGACUCCUACGGGAGGCAGCAGUGGGGAAUAUUGCACAAUGGGGGAAACCCUGAUGCAGCGACGCCGCGUGAGCGAUGAAGUAUUUCGGUAUGUAAAGCUCUAUCAGCAGGGAAGAAAAUGACGGUACCUGACUAAGAAGCCCCGGCUAACUACGUGCCAGCAGCCGCGGUAAUACGUAGGGGGCAAGCGUUAUCCGGAUUUACUGGGUGUAAAGGGAGCGUAGACGGCGAUGCAAGCCAGAUGUGAAAGCCCGGGGCUCAACCCCGGGACUGCAUUUGGAACUGUGUGGCUGGAGUGUCGGAGAGGCAGGCGGAAUUCCUAGUGUAGCGGUGAAAUGCGUAGAUAUUAGGAGGAACACCAGUGGCGAAGGCGGCCUGCUGGACGAUGACUGACGUUGAGGCUCGAAAGCGUGGGGAGCAAACAGGAUUAGAUACCCCCGUA
rnacentral:rRNA from 1 species